rnacentral:rRNA from 1 species
NCGCGNNCCAUNAGCUAGUCGGUAGGGUAACGGCCUACCAAGGCGACGAUGGAUAGCUGGUCUGAGAGGAUGAUCAGCCACACUGGGACUGAGACACUGCCCAGACUCCUACGGGAGGCUGCAGUCGAGAAUCUUCCGCAAUGGGCGAAAGCCUGACGGAGCAAUGCCGCGUGCAGGAUGAAGGCCCUUGGGUUGUAAACUGCUGUCACCAGGGAAGAACACAAUGACGGUACCUGGAGAGGAAGCACCGGCUAACUACGUGCCAGCAGCCGCGGUAAUACGUAGGGUGCAAGCGUUGUUCGGAUUUAUUGGGCGUAAAGGGUCCGCAGGGGGUCUUUUAAG